UACGUAGGGUGCAAGCGUUGUCUGGAAUUAUUGGGCGUAAAGAGCUCGUAGGCGGUUUGUCGCGUCUGCUGUGAAAUCUCAGGGCUUAACCCUGAGCUUGCAGUGGGUACGGGCAGACUAGAGUCCGGUAGGGGAGCGUGGAAUUCCUGGUGUAGCGGUGAAAUGCGCAGAUAUCAGGAGGAACACCAGCGGCGAAGGCGGCGCUCUGGGCCGGUACUGACACUGAGGAGCGAAAGCGUGGGUAGCAAACAGG
rnacentral:rRNA from 1 species